rnacentral:rRNA from 1 species
CCCUUAGAUGUCCUGGGCUGCACGCGCGCUACACUGAUGUGUCCAGUAAGCACCUAACCUCUUCCGAAAGGAACGGGUAACCUUUGCAAAGCACAACGUGAUGGGGAUAGAUUAUUGCAAUUAUUAGUCUUGAACGAGGAAUUCCUAGUAAGCACAAGUCAUCAGCUUGUGUUGAUUACGUCCCUGCCCUUUGUACACACCGCCCGUCGCUCCUACCGAUUGAAUGUUCCGGUGAGCUCUUCGGACUGCGCGGUCUGCAGUUUCUGCGUUCCGUGCGGAAAGUUGCGCAAACCUUAACAUUUAGAGGAAGGAGAAGUCGUAACA